GUGUUUUGGUGAUGGUGAUGUGUUUGUAGAUCUUACUUUACUGAACAUUCUUGCUACUUACAGUUUUCUCUAUCUAUAAUAAACUUAGCCCUUCCGUUACAGAGGAAAAUAUUUUGUAAAAAUUUACAAAAAUUUACCAAAUUAAUGAAAAUUGUUCAAAACUGACUAUAAAGGGCAAUAACUCCUUGAGGGGUCAACUGACCAUUUUG
rnacentral:lncRNA from 1 species